rnacentral:tRNA from 1 species
GGGCACAUAGCACAGCGGUUAGUGCGUUCGGCUCAUAUCCGAUAGGUCCUAGGUUCGAAUCCUAGUGUGCCCA